AACGAACGCUGGCGGCAUGCCUAACACAUGCAAGUCGAACGCGUGUAGCAAUACAUGAGUGGCGGACGGGUGAGUAACGCGUGGGAACCUGCCCAGUGGUAGGGAAUAACUGCGGGAAACUGGCAGCUAAUACCCUAUACGCCCUUUGGGGGAAAGAUUCAUCGCCAUUGGAGGGGCCCGCGUCGGAUUAGCUAGUUGGCGGGGUAACGCCCACCAAGGCAACGAUCCGUAGCUGGCUGAGAGGAUGAUCAGCCAC
rnacentral:rRNA from 1 species